rfam:Schistosoma haematobium scaffold16_27, whole genome shotgun sequence.
AUCCAGCUGACGAGUUCCGAAUGGGACGAAAUGCGCGUCCAGGAU